AAGUCCCAAAAAUCAUUCAAUACUGCAUUAAUUCCAGAUUUCCAGGAAAAAAACCAAGAAACAACAACUGAGGACCAACAAAGAAGUCUGGAAAUGUUUCCAGAUUUCAACCGACCCAGAGACCCACAUCACCAUAGUCAUCCUUUCAAACACAAACCAAACACCAUGCCCAUCAGAUCGUGAGCUAUCUCCACCAUAUCCCAGCCUUUAUAAACAUCAUCAUCUUCCUUACCUUAUAUUAACCCAAAAUAAAC
rnacentral:lncRNA from 1 species